UUUUUAUUACAAGGCCACGCGGCCUACUUCGUUAGCUGGAUCACUUUUUCGUCUGUCAUUUUUCUGUCCUCUUUUUCCUCUCUUGUGUAUCAUCUUCGCAUCUCAAUGGCCUGCGAAAAACUUUUCCAGCUUGAUUUCCUUAAUGAAGUUUUGUUUCUGCCGCUCAUUACCCUAUGGUUUACUGUUUUCUCGGUUUGCCCGUUUCGCUCUCUUUUGCUUGCUGGAUAUCUCGCUGCUGUUUCUUCUUCAGCUGCCUUUUGUUUUCAUUUUCAGCUGGCGUCUCUCAAAAAACUUCAUCGGAAUACUUUCCCAGACCGCUGUCCUUAACGGAGUUUCUUCUUGCUCAGCCCCGCCAAUCUUCAUCUUCAGAGCUGCGGAUUUGUCAAAGUCUGUGCCUUAACCAGUCACACCUCCCCAACGAUGCUGGAUCACAGCAUAAACCAUAAUAAUGUCUCUCAUUUGUGAAAACUGCAAAAGGGAAGCAAGUUUUUUCUAUGUUUUCUGUUUUGCCUUUCCUUGCAUUGCUGCCUAAUUGUCUGCAUGUGUUGUUUAACUGCAGAUGUAAUGGGGAUCGUUGUUCAUGCUUUCCCUGCACGAGAUGUUUAUAUGGAAGGGACUAUGCGCCAUGGGAGAGACUAUGUCAUAGUUGACCACAGUAAACUUCCAAUUCUUUUGACUUUGUGGGAGGAUUUUGAAUCUAUCGAGGGCUGUGUUAUUGAUGAAGCAAUGCCUACCAUGCCUAUUAUUAUCGCUAUGAGAGUUAGGGUCUUAACGGAAAAUUAUAUAUCAUUGUCGACCCAGCCAUCUUCUGUUAUACUUGUUGCUCCUGAUGUUUUGGAGGCACGUGAGCUUGACUGCUGAAAUGUCUCGGAAUUAGUCCAUAUGAUUUUUGACAAUAAAUCAUACGCUGAUCCGGCUAUUCUUUUACCUCCUGUUCGUGCUCCAACUCUUACUGCAAUCUCCAGCGUUGCAUCCUUCACUCGCUUUGAUCAAGCAACCGUCUGGAUUAAGGGCCGUGUUGAAAUUGCGUGUCCAAUGACUCGCUUUUGGCAUCUCACCUGACCCCACUGUUAUCAGCCAUAUGAUUUUUCCAUUACCUUAGGGAUCUGGUGUCUUUCUUGCGGCCUGGGAAUGUCUAUUUUUCCAAGGUUCAUUCCAUGUUUGGUAUUAGUUAGUUGCUUUGGUUCCAAUUAGUCUUUUUUUCAAAUGGCUUUGUUUUCUCCUGCUGGUUAUUUCCUUUCGCUUGCGUAGGGUAUGGAUUAGAUUUUUUAUUCAUGACGAUACUGGCUAUGUAAGUGUUGUCACUCUGGGUGCUGAAGCUGAAAAGAUAAUUGGACUUAGUGCAUUUCAAUUGUACCAGACUGUUGAUGACGAGUUUUUUGGCCUGUAUAGACAAGUUCGCCGUCGCCUAGAACGGAAGAACCUGUUGUGUUAUAUAAAGCAUUCCUCAGAUGUGAUUAGGUCAACGGCCAUCGCCAAGUUCACAGUUGUUACUUGCUAUUUGUGUUAGGAUCAAGGCUGCUCUUCCGAUUGCCAUGUUGCUCUUGGCUAUUGGCCUUCUUGAUCUUUUGAGCCUUUGAGUCUGAUGUUAUGUAUGGACUGUAUUUUGUCUGUUAGGUUACUUUUUUACUUGAUCUGUAAUUCAGUUGCUUGUAAAUAAUGAGGAGCCUUUAUCCUCCCACAUUCAGAGUUUGGUUCCAAUAACCAAUUGUUUAAGGACCUUUGUCAGCAAUGCCUCUGUGUCAGCAAUGCCCAGUUGUGGCUUUUUUCACACGGGAUUUGCGCCUUGGAUGUUUAAGACAUUCCCAGUUCCGGGGAUGACACUGUAAUUGGGAAUGGUGAGGAUGAUGAUGGAGCAGGGCCAUGUGGUGGAAAGUUCAAGAAGUUAUUAAUUUUCUCUAGGAAUGAUUACCUAGGCUUGAGUUCCCACCCAACUGUUAUCAAGGCCGCAGUAAAGGCAGCUCAGUUGCAUGGGAUGGGACCUAGAGGUCAAGCAUUAAUUUGUAGUUACACAAAUAACCACAGGUUGCUGGAGUCGGCGUUGGCAGACUUAAAGAAGAAAGAGGCUUUGCAGCCAACAUGGCACUUAUCACAGCAGUUGGAAGUGUUGGUUUGCUGUUAGCUGAAGGGGGAAAACCUAAAAGGGAUGCAAGAGUUGCCAUUUUUUCUGAUGCACUCAACCAUGCAUCAAUUAUCAAUGGUAUCCGCCUUGCUGAGAAACAAGGGAGUUUAGUCAACAUUGAGCGUUUGUAUUGGUCUUUAUACUGGUGCCUUCGCUUAACCAUUACGUUUCUUGCAUCGAUGCUGCUGGCUUCUGUAAAUUCAAAAUGCUCUUCCGAAAUACAAAUGUCUCCAUGGUCUUCAACAAGGAGAAAUAUUUGUAUUCAUACCCCAGUCCCGUACAUCCCUUGCUGUUUUAAUUUUCGGAAUCAACGGCAUAGAAAUCAUGUAUCCAUGGCAUCAUACAUUUCACCUUUAAUAUAUUAGUAGCUUUGAUUACCAAAUUAGUAUAUCGCAUCCAUUACCAGA